GAUGAACGCUAGCGGCAGGCUUAACACAUGCAAGUCGAGGGGUAUAGUAGCAAUACUAGAGACCGGCGCACGGGUGCGUAACGCGUAUGCAAUCUACCUUUUGCAGAGGGAUAGCCCAGAGAAAUUUGGAUUAAUACCUCAUAGUAUAAUUGAAUGGCAUCAUUUAAUUAUUAAAGUCACAACGGCAAAAGAUGAGCAUGCGUCCCAUUAGCUUGUUGGUAAGGUAACGGCUUACCAAGGCAACGAUGGGUAGGGGUCCUGAGAGGGAGAUCCCCCACACUGGUACUGAGACACGGACCAGACUCCUACGGGAGGCAGCAGUGAGGAAUAUUGGACAAUGGGUGCAAGCCUGAUCCAGCCAUGCCGCGUGCAGGAAGACGGUCCUAUGGAUUGUAAACUGCUUUUGCACAGGAAGAAACAUCCCGACGUGUCGGGACUUGACGGUACUGUGAGAAUAAGGAUCGGCUAACUCCGUGCCAGCAGCCGCGGUAAUACGGAGGAUCCAAGCGUUAUCCGGAAUCAUUGGGUUUAAAGGGUCCGUAGGCGGCUUUAUAAGUCAGUGGUGAAAUCUCCCCGCUCAACGGGGAAACGGCCAUUGAUACUGUAAGGCUUGAAUUAUUAGGAAGUAACUAGAAUAUGUAGUGUAGCGGUGAAAUGCUUAGAGAUUACAUGGAAUACCAAUUGCGAAGGCAGGUUACUACUAAUGGAUUGACGCUGAUGGACGAAAGCGUGGGUAGCGAACAGGAUUAGAUACCCUGGUAGUCCACGCCGUAAACGAUGGAUACUAGCUGUUGGGAGCAAUCUCAGUGGCUAAGCGAAAGUGAUAAGUAUCCCACCUGGGGAGUACGUUCGCAAGAAUGAAACUCAAAGGAAUUGACGGGGGCCCGCACAGCGGUGGAGCAUGUGG
rnacentral:rRNA from 1 species